UACGAGAGGCCCAAACGUUAUUCGGAUUUACUGGGCUUAAAGAGUUCGUAGGCGGCGCGGAAAGUAGGGUGUGAAAGCCCUCGGCUCAACUGAGGAUCGUCGAUCGAUACUGCCGUUCUUGAGGAUUGCAGAGGAGACUGGAAUUCCCGGUGUAGCGGUGAAAUGUGUAGAGAUCGGGAGGAACACCGGUGGCGAAGGCGGGUCUCUGGGCAAUUCCUGACGCUGAGGCGCGAAAGCGUGGGGAGCAAACGGG
rnacentral:rRNA from 1 species